UUUUAUUCUCCCUCUUCAUGACUAGUUUCUCAGGUCCUCAAUGAUGUGUUUUUUUUUGUUUGUUUGUUUUGGGGUUGUUUUUGUUUUUUGUUUUUUUUUUGCCAAAACAUAAAUUUUCAAUUUCAAUAAGGUCAUAGGUCUCACAUUUUUCCUUUCCACUUUAUACUUUUUGUGUCUUUGUUUAGGAGAGCCAUCUCCCAAGAUAGUCACUUGGAUUUUUAAAGUUGGAUAGCUCUGCCUUUUUACAUUUAGGACUUUAAACCAUGCAGAAUGAACUUCUGCACCUAAGAUGAGAAAGAGGUCCACUUUCAAUGCGGAAAACAGAUUGUCAAGCAUUGUUUAUUAAAUCAUUCAUUAUUUCGCUAAACAAUCAGCGAUAAAUCUGCCAUUGGCAGUCUUUGUUCUGGAUCUGAGUUGGGGCUGCGAUCCUGGGCUCUCUUCUGACUCCGCUGACAGACGCUGUUACCUGUACUCCCGCCAGCGAAGCACUGUCCCCAUUGUUCUGCGGCUUUGAAUCGGGGCGACAGGAGGACAAGCCCUGCGCCGCCCUACUUUCUGCUUCCGCAAAAGCAAGACUGGGAGCUGACUGUGGCUCAGAUCAUAAACUCCUUAUUGCCAGAGGCAGACUUAAAUUGAAGAAAGUAGGGAAAACCACUAGACCAUUCAGGUUUUGCAGGCACCACAAAAAGAGGUGGAAGACUUGCCUUCUUUUUCCAUUUUCUAAAAGAGUUUACUUAUAAAAGAUGACAUUAUUUUCCCUUAAAUAUUUGGCUGAAAUUCACUAUGAAAUCAUAUGGGCCUACAGUUUUCUUUGUGGGAAGGUUUUUAAAUUACGGAUUCAAUUUUUUAAAUAAUUGUAG
ensembl:lncRNA